AGCUAUCGACACCUGGAGAAACCCAACAAAAGUACUCCUUUGGCACAUAUGUAAAUAUUGGGGAAAAACACUCGAAAAUUAUUUGGUUUUAUGUUUCUUCCACCACUAGCUCCUGUGCGGCGAUAAAGCUCUCUUUUUUCGUUGGUUUUUCGGUGGAUUUCUAAUGUUGGGAAAUCCUAUAAGUUUUCAUUUAUCGGCAUUCAUCGUCAGGGAAGCGUCUUGUGAGAAUAGGAACAAGCGGGUUCAUUGCGGAGACCAUCGCCCACAAAGGUCUCCCAAAUGCAGCGUCUCCGCAGCGUCCAUGUGAAUAUUGUCACGCCCGCAGAGGGCUGACACCUGACACCUGAAUUGAGGGCUAAUCCAUCAAGGAUCCAAGGGAAAAUCCUUUCGAUUGCCAGCCCAAAGUGUGGAACAAUGUCAUUUGCUGCGGUUUUGCUUCUGACAGACAGACAC